UACGGGGGGGGCAAGCGUUGUUCGGAAUUACUGGGCGUAAAGGGUUUGUAGGUGGCCAACUAAGUCAGACGUGAAAUCCCUCAGCUUAACUGGGGAACUGCGUCUGAUACUGGUUGGCUUGAGUGCAGGAGAGGAACGCGGAAUUCCAGGUGUAGCGGUGAAAUGCGUAGAUAUCGAGAGGAACACCUGCGGCGAAGGCGGGUUGCUGGGCUGAUACUGACGCUGAGGCGCGAAAGCUAGGGGAGCAAACAGG
rnacentral:rRNA from 1 species